CCCUUAGAUGUCCUGGGCCGCACGCGCGUUACACUGAUGCAUUCAACGAGCUUAUAACCUUGGCCGAGAGGCCUGGGCAAUCUUGUUAACGUCCAUCGUGAUAGGGAUAGAUUAUUGAAAUUAUUAAUCUUGAAUGAGGAAUUCCUAGUAAACGCAGAUCAUCAAUCUGCAUUGAUUACGUCCCUGCCCUUUGUACACACCGCCCGUCGCACCUACCGAUUGGAUGGUCCGGUGAAGCCUCGGGAUUGUGGUUCUUGCCGCUUUAUUGUGGCGUGACCGCGAGAACUUGUCUAAACCUUAUCAUCUAGAGGAAGGUGAAGUCGUAACA
rnacentral:rRNA from 1 species